AUUGAACGCUGGCGGCAGGCUUAACACAUGCAAGUCGAGCGGAGAUGAGGUGCUUGCACCUUAUCUUAGCGGCGGACGGGUGAGUAAUGCUUAGGAAUCUGCCUAUUAGUGGGGGACAACAUUCCGAAAGGAAUGCUAAUACCGCAUACGUCCUACGGGAGAAAGCAGGGGAUCUUCGGACCUUGCGCUAAUAGAUGAGCCUAAGUCGGAUUAGCUAGUUGGUGGGGUAAAGGCCUACCAAGGCGACGAUCUGUAGCGGGUCUGAGAGGAUGAGCCGCCACACUGGGACUGAGACACGGCCCAGAAUCCUACGGGAGGCAGCAGUGGGGAAUAUUGGACAAUGGGGGGAACCCUGAUCCAGCCAUGCCGCGUGUGUGAAGAAGGCCUUAUGGUUGUAAAGCACUUUAAGCGAGGAGGAGGCUACUGAGACUAAUACUCUUGGAUAGUGGACGUUACCCGCAGAAUAAGCACCGGCUAACUCUGUGCCAGCCGCCGCAGUAA
rnacentral:rRNA from 1 species